GUUGCUUAUCUUGCCUGGGACCUCACUGC
rnacentral:piRNA from 1 species